rnacentral:rRNA from 1 species
CAAUAGCGUAUAUUAAAGUUGUUGUGGUUAAAAAGCUCGUAGUUGGAUUUCGGCAGACAUAGGUCGGUUUGAAUCGCUUCAACACUGACUUCUUUGUCUGUGUGUUUUGCCAGAAUUCAGCUGGUGAUCUUUACCGAUUGUCCGUUGGAGCUGGCAGGUUUACUUUGAAAAAAUUAGAGUGCUCAAAGCAAGCUUGAUUGCUUGAAUAUUCGUGCAUGGAAUAAUAGAAUAGGAAGUCGUUUCUAUUUUGUUGGUUUUCGGAGAUUGACUUAAUGAUUAAUAGGGAUAGUCGGGGGCAUUUGUAUUCAAACGACAGAGGUGAAAUUCUUGGACCGUUUGAAGACAAACUACUGCGAAAGCAUUUGCCAAGAAUGUUUUCAUUAAUCAAGA